CUCUCUUUUUCUCCUUUACCCCUGCCUCUGCCUUUCUAUUCCGCACCGGUGGACAGAGACGGAGUUUCAGCAACAUUAUGCAAAGGCAGAAGUGACAAAAGGACAACCUUAGACCUAAGAAGCCCCCAGGCCCCAACCACAUCAAGCCACUGCGUUGCAUAAGUUUCACCUGUGCUGAGAUGCUUCCAAGCUCUCCUUCCUCAUUGCCUUAGAGGUUGACCGGCCAGUGAGCAGGCGGGCACCGGGCAAGGUCUGCUCGAAAGUGCAGAGACGAGCAGCCAAACGCGACCCAGGCCACUGCAGUGACAACACUAUGUCCUUAACCCACUGUGCCAUAAGGGAACUCCAAGUGAUUGUUGAAUAAAAAAGGGCAAUACUGACCUGAUGAAGACUAGUGUUGGGGUCAUAUUUUAGCCCACGCAGCUAAAAACAGUUGAAAGAAGAAGGGCAGAGACCAGGGAGAAAGAACGUGAAAAGCAGUUUUAAUAAAGUAGGGGAAGUCCAUUCACAGACCAGCAGGGAUGCUCCUUUUACAGGUGAAAUGCCAUCUGGCAGAAGAGAGAAGAAGCCUACAGCCCCCGGACCCAGAGCAACUCCCCUGCCAGCACCAGGGCCCUCAGAGGGUACACCCAUGCCCAGGCACGGCGGUGCUGGCGGGUGAAAGUGGAACAGGAGCUGUCAGCCCCACUCCAAGUCGCCUGACUCCUGCUUGGGCGUCAGUCCCAACAUCCCCCCGACAUGUACUCAGAGCAAGAAGGCAGCUGGCCGAGGGAUACAGGGGAGUUCGUCUGGACCUGGACCACUGGCCCAAAGGCCAAGGGUGCCUGCUUGUCUUCCAGGGAGCGAGAGAGGAAGAAAAAAGAAAACCAGAAGCUUGAUUCCAAGCACAAAGCAGCCACCAGGUGGGGGGCUCUCCUCCCUUUCAGCGUAGCCAGUGUUCGCGCCAUUUGUACCUGCACCACAACAAUCAAGGCAGAAAAGAACCCAACAGAGCAGGCUUAGGUAGCGAAGGCCGUUAACAGAUUUCACUUGUGAGCUGCUUUGUAAAAAGCGGUGAUUUCCCAUCAUCUCUUGAUU
rnacentral:lncRNA from 1 species